rnacentral:rRNA from 1 species
UACAGAGGUCCCAAGCGUUGUUCGGAUUCAUUGGGCGUAAAGGGUGCGUAGGCGGCCAACUAAGUCGGACGUGAAAUCCCCAGGCUCAACCUGGGAACUGCGUCCGAUACUGGAUGGCUUGAAUCCGGGAGAGGGAUGCAGAAUUCCAGGUGUAGCGGUGAAAUGCGUAGAUAUCAGGAGGAACACCUAUAGCGAAGGCAGCUUGCUGGGACGAUACUGACGCUAAGGCUCGAAAGCGUGGAGAGCAAACAGG